GCAAGGCCACCUUCCUAUUGGUGACAGCAGGGAUCUAUCAGUUAGAUGACCUCAUUAAUGUUGACCAGGAAGGACUGUCAAAUAUGGAAGACCAAGCAUGAGCAAAGGAACUGCACCGAGACCAUGCGAUGAGGAGACUGAGACACAGAGAGGC